rnacentral:rRNA from 1 species
GACGAACGCUGGCGGCGUGCUUAACACAUGUAAGUCGAACGGAAAGGCCCAGCUUGCUGGGUACUCGAGUGGCGAACGGGUGAGUAACACGUGGGUGAUCUGCCCUGCACUCUGGGAUAAGCCUGGGAAACUGGGUCUAAUACCGGAUAUGACCAACUGUCGCAUGGUGGUUGGUGGAAAGCUUUUGCGGUGUGGGAUGGGCCCGCGGCCUAUCAGCUUGUUGGUGGGGUAAUGGCCUACCAAGGCGACGACGGGUAGCCGACCUGAGAGGGUGAUCGGCCACACUGGGACUGAGACACGGCCCAGACCCCUACGGGAGGCAGCAGUGGGGAAUAUUGCACAAUGGGCGCAAGCCUGAUGCAGCGACGCCGCGUGAGGGAUGACGGCCUUCGGGUUGUAAACCUCUUUCACCAGGGACGAAGCGUGAGUGACGGUACCUGGAGAAGAAGCACCGGCCAACUACGUGCCAGCAGCCGCCGUAACAC